rnacentral:rRNA from 1 species
AUCUGGUUGAUCCUGCCAGUUAUGAUAGGCUUGUCUCAAGGAUUAAGCCAUGCAUGCCUAAGUUCAUACCUUUACAAGGUGAAACUGCGAAUCGCUCAGUAAAUCAGUUAUUGUUUCUUUGAUUGUACCGAGAUGUGGCCUACUGUCAGUCGCAAGGCUGCCACAGUGACCUCAUCACACAUUGGAUAUCUCUGGGAAACUAGAGCUAAUACAUGUCAACUGCUAUCACGGGGUAGCGUGCAUUUGUUCGUGCUUUCCAAAACCAACACUGGUCGAGCUAAGCCCAUGUGGUGGUGAUGUGCCAGUAUCACUACUGGUGCCUCACCACCAAGGCCGGCUAGUGUGACCUGGUGGCAGUCCCCUGCUGCCAGUCAGCACUUUUCGGUUUGUGUGCGUGCAUACGGCUCGGCCAUGUUUACGGUGAUUCUGAAUAACUGAUGCUGAUCGUACAGGGCCAUCAUCACAGCGUGGAUGCCACCUCCUGGUGGCCUCUCCACCUGUGUAUGUGCUUCGAGCCCACGAUAUUUCAAUCAAAUUCCUGCCCUAUCAUAUUUGUUGGUAAGGUAGCGGCCUACCAAGGUGAUGACGGGUAACGGGGAAUCAGGGUUCGAUUCCGGAGAGGGAGCCUGAGAAACAGCUACCACGUCCAAGGAUGGCAGCAGGCGCGCAAACUAUCCAAUCCAGAUUCUGGGAGAUGGUGACGAGACAUAUUGGGACUCACCAGCAUCGCUGGUUGAGUCACCAGAUAGACUACAACCUAAAACAGUGCUAAAAUAAUCAACAGGAGGGCAAGUCUGGUGCCAGCAGCCGCGGUAAUACCAGCUCCUGUGGCCUAUAUGGUCGUUGUUGCGGUUAAAAAGCUCGUAGCCGAAAUACGGUGCGCUCGAAAGCUGCAUCAGUGCUGAAACUAGCGUCGCCAAGUCACAGAUUGUGAAUGAUGCCACGGUUAGCCACUAAAACAGCCCGGCACCAGCAUCUCGCGACAAUAAACUGUGUGCGUGUGCGUGUGCGUGUUGAAUCAACAUUCGUACCUUGACUGAGUGUGCCGGCCAGCACGCCGACCCCAUGCCAUCAUCACCCUUGGGGGCUGGUGUCACCAUGAGACUCGGCACUGAGUCGUGAGCCUGUGCACACAAGUGCCUGGGGUACGCAUCAUUUGCCAGCCUAAACAGCCAAGCGAGCGUCCAAUCAGCUGGCUGAGUUUACGCGAUUCAGCCCUCAUACUUCUUCAAGUGUGUGCGUGUGGCUGGGCAUGUGCGUGCAAUUACAACUCGGCAUUCGAUCGAUUGGGCCGAGAGCCAUUACGCGUGGCUCACGGUGUGCACAUCACCCUCAGUUGGUCCUAUGUACUAGUAUUCCUCAUCUAAGCGCAUCACACUGUGCCGUGUAGAAUGAUGAUAUGUCGCCGCUGGCUCCUUCACUGUGAGCAACGGCCCGUGGCAUCUAAUCUGCAACAUUCGUGCGACGCAAUCUAUAGUUAUCCCCGCUGUGGUAACUAACAAUGGCUGGGCCCUGCGUUGUGUGCCUCUAACUGUGCGUGGCCAUCACUUCUGGUGGUGGUCACACCGGCAUCAGAGCCACAACGCGUCGUCUCAUCCGCCACAGUGGUUCAGCGCUGAGACGGCAUUAGAGCGCGCUUUCUCGUCCAGCUCCGGUGCAGGCACUACGAACAGUAGUGGCGACUAUCCUUCACUGGAUACACCGGACGCUGAGCGAAUUGUGCCUUGAGUAAAAUAGAGUGCUCAAAGCAGGCUAGGCAUGUAACAGUGUCAUUGCCCGUAUACUCCAGCAUGGAACGAAUGUCCAAUUGCUUGAACCACCCUGCGACCUGGUUCGUUGGUUGAAAGUGCGUGUGCGUGUCAAUGAGCGCUUCCAGCGCCCAACUCGUGUGCGUUCUUCGGUACACCCACAUCACACCUCAUCAUGUGUGAGCUGUGGUGUGGGUGGAUCCCAGGUCGUAUCCGCUACGGUGUGUACCCGAUGUGCGUGCAGAUUCUCGUAAUCGCAUCAACAGGGCAGUGUGUGCCAUCAGUGGUUGUGUGGUGGCCACCAAUGGUCGCCACAGUUAUCAAUCCGGCACACAUUGUGGACACUUUGUCUACUGUCUGCUCCAGGUACUGUGCUGCAGCUGCUUUCCAAUAAACACAGCCAUUAGGUGUGGCUGUGUGGACUGCCAGCCAGCCAGGCACCCAGCGACAGUACCAGUGUUACAACCCUGGCUAGGGAUCAAUACCACCUGUGCGUAUGGGUAUCGGUUAACAGAGACAUUUGGGGGCAUUAGUACUUGGCCGCGAGAGGUGAAAUUCACAGACCGGCCAAAGACUAACGAUUGCGAAAGCAUCUGUCCAAGAUGUCUUCAUUGGCCAAGGACGAAAGUUAGGGGAUCGAAGAUGAUCAGAUACCGUCGUAGUCCUAACUGUAAACGAUGCCAACCAGGGCUCAGGCCGGGUCGGAUAUGCUGUGUGACGUGUGUCCGUUGGUGCGCCGGGCGCGCCUGUGCUCAAUGUAGCACAUGGCUGCCACCCUGGCCCCAAGUGCGUGACAAUCACGCUCACACAUGCAUAUAACAGAUCCAGGUUGGGCCCCCCGGGAAACCUAAAGUGUGUGGGUUCCGGGGGGAGUAUGGUUGCAAAGCUGAAACUUAAAGGAAUUGACGGAAGGGCACCACCAGGAGUGGAGCCUGCGGCCUAAUUUGACUCAACACGGGGAAUCUCACCAGGUCCGGACAUCGGAAGGAUUGACAGACUGAUAGAUCUUUCAUGAUUCGGUGAAUGGUGGUGCAUGGCCGUUCUUGGUUGGUGGAGUGAUUUGUCUGGUUUAUUCCGUGAACGAGCGCAACCACAGCCUCCAUUUUGGCCGUACGAAGUGCUCUAGGGCGCACGGCAGCCUGCACAUGUAACAGUGUGCAAGCUGCUGCUGCGUCAUUGAGUGUAAAAUUGCCAUUGAUCGCGCUGGUGCGCUAAGUCCGCACACUGUCCGCCUGUGUGCUGGUGUCGAGUGUCUUGACGAUUCCAGGUGUUGCCACCGAUGGAUUCACUCUGUGCUGGGUCCUCGCAUCGACCCAAUUGGUGUAGUGCGCAUUGGCGACAUGCUGGCAGCCAACUGGAUGGGGAUCGUGAGGAAUCCUCAGACCGCGGUUGUACUGUUGCCGGUGGAUUCAACCACUACACCAAUCGGUGUGUUGUGCCUGGCACAGAGCUGUCGGGUUGGUGGCAUGUGUGCCUCUUGAUACUUAGCAUCAUCACUGGGAUGGGUCCAGUGUGUGGAUGUACCAGAAUUAUGUCGAUCAGUGGGUGUUCGUGCGCCUUCAUAGAGGGACUACCGGUGGCAAACCGGGGGAAGUGUGACAAUAGCAGGUCAGUGAUGCCCUUCGAUGUUCUGGGCUGCACGCGUGCUACAAUGGUUACGACAAUGAGUGUUCAAUGUCUGCAUCGAAAGGUGUGGGUAAUCUUCUCAAUCGUAGCCGUGCUGGGGAUUGAGCCUUGAAAUUAUUGCUCAUGAACCUGGAAUUCCUCGUAAGUACGAGUCACCAGCUCGUGCUGAAUACGUCUCUGCCCUUUGUACACACCGCCCGUCGCUACUACCGAUUGAAUGAUUCGGUGAGGUCAUGGGAUCGAUCGGUUUCUCUCUUGUAAACUGGUUGAGAGCCUGCCCAAGCUGCAUCAGUCAGAGGAAGUAAAAGUCGUAACAAGGUUUCCGUAGGUGAACCUGCGGAAGGAUCAU